GACGAACGCUGGCGGCGUGCUUAACACAUGCAAGUCGAACGGAAAGGCCCUGCUUUUGUGGGGUGCUCGAGUGGCGAACGGGUGAGUAACACGUGAGUAACCUGCCCUUGACUUUGGGAUAACUUCAGGAAACUGGGGCUAAUACCGGAUAGGAGCUCCUGCUGCAUGGUGGGGGUUGGAAAGUUUCGGCGGGUGGGGAUGGACUCGCGGCUUAUCAGCCUGUUGGUGGGGUAGUGGCUUACCAAGGCUUUGCCGGGUAGCCGGCCUGGGAGGGUGGCCGGCCGCAUUGGGACUGAGAUACGGCCCAGACUGCUACGGGAGGCAGCAGUGGGGAAUAUUGCACAAUGGGCGGAAGCCUGAUGCAGCAACGCCGCGUGCGGGAUGACGGCCUUCGGGUUGUAAACCGCUUUCGCCUGUGACGAAGCGUGAGUGACGGUAAUGGGUAAAGAAGCACCGGCUAACUACGUG
rnacentral:rRNA from 1 species